rnacentral:rRNA from 1 species
AGAGUUUGAUCCUGGCUCAGGAUGAACGCUGGCGGCGUGCCUAACACAUGCAAGUCGAGCGCGAAGAAUUGGAAUGAGGUUUCGGCCAAGUGAAGAUUCCGAAAGCGGCGGACGGGUGAGUAACGCGUGGGUAACCUGCCUUAUACAGAGGGAUAGCAGUUGGAAACGACUAUUAAUACCUCAUAAGCACACGAGACCGCAUGGUCUUGGGUGAAAAGCUCCGGCGGUAUAAGAUGGACCCGCGUCUGAUUAGCUAGUUGGUGAGGUAAUGGCUCACCAAGGCGACGAUCAGUAGCCGACCUGAGAGGGUGAUCGGCCACACUGGGACUGAGACACGGCCCAGACUCCUACGGGAGGCAGCAGUGGGGAAUAUUGCACAAUGGGCGCAAGCCUGAUGCAGCAACGCCGCGUGAACGAAGAAGGCCUUCGGGUCGUAAAGUUCUUUUCUCGAGGAAGAAGAAAUGACGGUACUCGAGGAAUAAGCACCGGCUAACUCUGUGCCAGCAGCCGCGGUAAUACAGGGGGUGCAAGCGUUGUUCGGAAUCACUGGGCGUAAAGGGAGCGUAGGCGGAACUACAAGACAGGGGUUAAAGAUCCGGGCUCAACCUGGAGAGUGCCUUUGUGACUGUGGUUCUUGAGUAUGGUAGAGGUCAGCGGAAUUUCCGGUGUAGCGGUGGAAUGCGUAGAGAUCGGAAAGAACACCAGAGGCGAAGGCGGCUGACUGGACCAAUACUGACGCUGAGGCUCGAAAGCGUGGGGAGCAAACAGGAUUAGAUACCCUGGUAGUCC